rnacentral:ribozyme from 1 species
ACAAACAAACAAUCAAAAACGGAAACGAAAUAGUAUCUUUCUCUUUCUCUCUUUCUCUCUCUCUCCUCUCUUUCUUUCUCUCGCUACCAAUUUCUCUUUCAGUAGGAAGAAGGGAGCUUUCUCAGUUCGUGUUCGGAAGAAAGAAGAUGCUUGAAAUAAAAGGCGAGCAGCAGAAAGGAAAACGACAAU